AAUUUGGUAUUAUCUAGAUAGUUGGGUGUGCUAAGUGUAUACAAAAAAAUGUGUUAAUCUAACGAUGCAAUCAAGAGAUAUCUGGGUUUUAGUACAAAGGGUUGUCGAAAGUUGACAAUCUAGGGUUGGAUAGAAUUUAUGUGAUAUCUGAAGAUCUACUAGUUAGAUCGACGUAAAUUUUGGCUUGAUUAUAGAAGAUU
rnacentral:lncRNA from 1 species